UACGUAGGGCGCGAGCGUUGUCCGGAAUUAUUGGGCGUAAAGAGCUCGUAGGCGGCCUGUUGCGUCCGCUGUGAAAUCCCAGGGCUCAACCCUGGGCGUGCAGUGGAUACGGGCAGGCUAGAGUGUGGUAGGGGAGACUGGAAUUCCUGGUGUAGCGGUGAAAUGCGCAGAUAUCAGGAGGAACACCGAUGGCGAAGGCAGGUCUCUGGGCCACUACUGACGCUGAGAAGCGAAAGCAUGGGGAGCGAACAGG
rnacentral:rRNA from 1 species